AGUGAACGCUGGCGGUAGGCCUAACACAUGCAAGUCGAACGGCAGCACAGUAAGAGCUUGCUCUUACGGGUGGCGAGUGGCGGACGGGUGAGGAAUACAUCGGAAUCUACUUUUUCGUGGGGGAUAACGUAGGGAAACUUACGCUAAUACCGCAUACGACCUACGGGUGAAAGCAGGGGAUCUUCGGACCUUGCGCGAUUGAAUGAGCCGAUGUCGGAUUAGCUAGUUGGCGGGGUAAAGGCCCACCAAGGCGACGAUCCGUAGCUGGUCUGAGAGGAUGAUCAGCCACACUGGAACUGAGACACGGUCCAGACUCCUACGGGAGGCAGCAGUGGGGAAUAUUGGACAAUGGGCGCAAGCCUGAUCCAGCCAUACCGUGCGGGUGAAGAAGGCCUUCGGGUUGUAAAGCCCUUUUGUUGGGAAAGAAAAGCAGCAGGUUAAUACCCCGCUGUUCUGACGGUACCCAAAGAAUAAGCACCGGCUAACUUCGUG
rnacentral:rRNA from 1 species